rnacentral:sRNA from 1 species
CCUGCUGUUUAAACAUUAAGAUGGUUCCCUUAAAGUCGUCAACCUGCAGGCCAAGGCGAACUUUAAAAAAAAAAAAAAAAAACCAGGUCAUGCUGCAUGUUUUUGGUGAGCACAGGAAUCAACAAAGCGCUGUUACAUAACUUCUAUUUAUGUCCUCCUUGCUCACUAUCUGCAGGCAGGCAAGAGUCGCAGAGCUGGGAUUUAAUGAGCUCUGGGUUUGCUCACCUUCCUGAGCUGGUAGGAGCCAGCUUGUUCUCAAAAUGCGUCAGUAAAGAAUCAGGCUGUGGGUGGGCGGCCAGGGGUAGUAGGUGGGCAGCAUUGUUGCCAUGGUGUUUUUUAAUUCCCCUGUCUCUCAA